rnacentral:misc_RNA from 1 species
GUAAACGGGAAGCUGAUUUAUUGGAAAUUUAUGAAGCAUUUGACUAAGACUUAAUGCAAAUACAUAUGCAAAUGAGGUUUAUUUCUAGUCUCUUUUCAAGACGUUUUAAAGAUUAUGUGGAUUAAUUAUAAACCGUUUUUUCUUAUAUAGAUGAGGUUUAAGCAUUUGUUUACAUCAUCCACUAUAUACAGAUGAAUAUUUAUAUUUAUAUUUCAAGUUGUUUUAAAGAAGAAAAGAAGUAUUUCUGGUAUGUAAAUGACAACAGAUAAUUCUUUGUGUCAAAUCAUUGGACAUAUGUUUAUGAUGCUUUUCCGUUUUCUGUCUUUACAGAUUGAAUAAAAUAAGGUAGUGAGCCUGCCUGACUAUACAGUUUAAAGCGGCCUUUUCUGGUGUCUGUUAUCUCUGAGUCUUCGACGAUCCAUCAAUUCAAUUUCUUCAAUUUCUAUGAUCUGGGAGAGGUCUGAAGGUCACCACGAGAAGUCUGCUGUCUGGAUCUGACGACUCUUCACAUCAGGGAUCAGAAGUCUUAAAGAGAUAUGUCAGUUGAGAAAGUCAAGUCUCUGCGCCUGCAGAGGAGAGGGGCAAAAGCCAAGUUGUCCAGGUAUGGAAAGGCCCUUCAGAGCCUGAUCAAUGAUCAGAGACCUGUACCAGAAGUACAGGAGAUGUUUGAACAGUAUGCUGGUGCCUUUGAUGAUCUUCAGAAUAAGCAUGCUAGUUAUACCGAAGUGGUAGAAGAUGACGACGAAUUCGAAAAGGAAGAGUUGUGGAUGGACGAGUGCCAUAAUUCGUUCAUGAAGCUACAGAUCAUCGAAAGGGACUAUUGCAAGGUUGAUGAAAGUUUCAGGGAAGUAACGCAACCCCAGGAACAUCAGCAAGGUGCAUCGGCCAGGUAUUAUCAGAGUUUAGAAGCAACGUUGUCAGCCGAUGAACAGCAAGAUGAGUCACCCAGAGAGGCAGGUCAGCCUGCUGAUGCAGGAAGGAGAAUGAAAGGAUCUGCUUAUAAGAUGGAGAGGCCUAAACUGCCAAGCUUCGAUGGCAACAUCCGAGAUUACUGUAUCUUCAAGGCUGAUUUUCUCCAUGCUGUUGGAAAUCAGUACGAUGAUAGAGAUGCCCUCAUGAUUCUCCGCUCUUGUCUUCAGAGCAAGCCCUUGCAGUUGGUUAAAGGGAUAGGACAAGACUAUACCGCAGCCUGGGAGCAACUAGAUAUGAUUUACGGGGAUGAGCGGUUUGUAGCUGACGCCAUCAUCAAUGAUAUUUCCAAGGUCAGACCAUUAAAGACGGGAGAAUCUGACAGGUUCUGUGAAUUCGUUCACCUUGUUCGAAGGAGUUACAACACCUUAAAGGAGAUAAACCAACCAGGGAACCUAGACAACAGCCACAUGCUUGCCAUAAUGGAAAAAAAGCUUAGCCCGGAAGACCGACUGGUUUGGUUUAGACACCAAGAAACAUGUGGCAAGGCAAGCUUCGAUUUGUUCCUCACCUGGCUUACAAUCGAACUGAAGUCCAGAAUGAGAGCGUCGGCCCCAGUAAGAAGUGAUAGUAAGUCAGGUGGUGUUCAUAUAGUAGGAAAGGCAGUACCCAAUGAAGAAACCAAAUUCCAGCCUUUUCACAAGUGUUGGAUCUGCGAGACUUCGUCACAUUGGUUGGAUCAGUGCAAGAAGUUCUUAGCCAUGUCACAGAUAGAUAGGCUUCAACUAGUCAAGACCAACCAUGCAUGUUUCAGCUGUUUGAAGAAGGCUGGGAAAGAACACAGAAUGUCCAACUGCAAACGAAGACGUAGGUGCAGUGAAACAAGUGCUGGGGAACCAUGUAAAUACUUCCACCAUCCCCUCCUACACGCAUCAACAGAAGUCAGAGGUGGAAAUGUAGAUGUUGCCUUUGCGGGCAACUCGGAAGCACUGCUGCCUAUUGUUACAGUCGAGAUCUUGGGGCAGCGAGGAGCAGUCUGUGAGGGAAAUGUGCUCUUGGACUCUGGAGCACAAGUAAGUCUAAUCAAGAAGUCUGUUGCUGAGGAACUGAAGCUGAAGGGAAGCAACAUCAGCAUCACCAUUACCAAGGUCGGUGGAGAGCAAGAGCAGAUGGAAACCCAACAACAUCAACUGAAAGUGAAGUCCCUCUCUACUAAUGCCAUCCAUUCGGUGACAGCAGUGGCAUUACCAUGUAUUAGUGAGAACAUUGCAGAGGUGAAGAUGGAUGCAAUGGCCAAGCUGUUUAAUCUGAAGUCCGGUGAUCUACGAAGAGGAAGUGGGUCAGUUCAUCUUCUCAUUGGCAUAGACUACCCAAAGAUGCAUAUGGGUAAGUCAAGACAGAAGGGACAGUUAGCAGCUCGUAAAUCUCCACUGGGCUGGGUUAUCUUUGGUGCUCCCAAGAAAAGCAGUGACAGGAUGAAUGUGCUGCAUGUGAAGUUGACAACUCCUAUCGACUUGACUGAUUUCUGGAGCUCAGAAUCCAUGGGAGUGCAGUCCAGCUCCUGUCAUUGCGAGCCAAGUCCCUUGAGUAAGCAGGAGAAGGAAGAAGAGCAGAUCAUCAGAGAGUCUAGCAAAAAGGUUGGAAAUAAAUGGGAGAUUGCUUAUCCUUGGAGAAAAGAUCCCAACCUACUUCCUGACAAUCGAGCACAAGCAGAGAAGGUACUGUGUUCAACAGAGAAAAGGCUUGCACGAAACCAGGACCAUGCAGAUGCCUAUGUUAAACAGAUGAAAGAACUGGUAGAGAAUGGAUUUGCUCGUAAGUUAACAGAGAAUGAAGUAGAUCAGUAUGAGGGUCCUAUUCACUACAUAUCCCACCAUGCUGUUCUGCGACCUGAGAAGAGAAGCACACCUGUACGCAUCGUAUUCAAUUCAUCAUCAUCAUAUCACGGUCAUUGCUUAAAUGACUAUUGGUUCAAGGGUCCAGACCUCCUGAAUGAUCUUUUGGGGGUGCUGCUGAGAUUCCGGAUGAAUGAAGUUGGAUUCUGCGGAGACAUUUCUAAGAUGUACCACAGGGUCUCGAUUCCUGAGAGAGAUAUGAAUGUACACCGGUACCUGUGGCGAGACAUGCAGACCGAUAGAAAGCCAGAUGUUUACAUUAUGAAAGUGGUUACGUUUGGAGACAAGCCAGCGCCAGCUAUGGCCCAGCUGGCAUUGAGAAUGACAGCGGAAGCAGCAGAAGCUACACAUCCGAAAGCAGCACAGGUGUUGAAGGAGAGUGUCUACAUGGACGACAUUUGUGACUCAGUUAGAGAAGUGAGUGAAGCAGAGCAGCUUACAAGUGAAAUUGACCAGGUACUUCAGGAAGGUGGCUUCAAAGUCAAAGGCUGGACCAGCAAUGAAGCAUUGAAAGGAGAAAGUAAAAAGGAAGGGGAAACCAGAAUCCUUGAAGCUGCCCUGGAAGACAAAGUGCUGGGAAUAGCAUGGGAUAACCAGCAAGACAUGUUCUUCUACAAAGUAAAGGAGACAGUUCCCAGUUCUCCUAAUGAUGGGAAAGAUGAAGAGAGUCUGCUUACCAAGAGAAAGGUCCUGAGCAGAAUUGCACGAAUAUUCGAUCCAAUAGGCUUUGCCGCUCCCGUACUAGUUCGUGCAAAAAUUGGAAUGCAGCAGCUGUGGCAGAGAGGAUACGAUUGGGAUGAACUGUUACCUUCCGAUCAACAGAAGUGGUGGGUGACAUUCUUGAAAGAGAUGCAGGACUUAAAUAACGUCAAAUACGAGAGAUGUCUUACUCCACCGAUGGCUAUCGGUCAACCCACACUAUGCAUAUUUGCAGAUGCAUCUGAGGUAGCAUUUGGAGUCUGCGUAUAUUUGCAGUGGAAACUAGAAGAUGGUAAAUAUGCUGUUAGAUUUGUACUAGCCAAAUCUCGAGUCGCUCCUCUGAAGAAGAUUACUGUACCUAGACUAGAGCUUCAGGCGGCAGUGAUGGCUGCAAGAGUCUACACAACUGUCAUGAAAGAACUGAGGCUGCAGCCUGAGAGUGUCAUCUUCAUGACUGAUAGCAUGAUCGCCCUAUCUUGGAUUCGAAGUGAGGGUAGGAGAUUCAAGCCAUUCGUUGCAGCAAGGAUUGGUGAAAUCCAAAGCCAUACCAACCCUGCACAGUGGAAGUAUGUCCCAGGAGAGCUUAACCCAGCUGAUGACGUCUCUAGAGGUCUGCCAGUAAAGAAGCUCUCAGAAAGAUGGAAGCAAGGACCUGCGUUCCUGUACAGACCUAAAGAGGAAUGGCCGUCAGAAAAGGCUGUUCCAGACACAGAAACAGAGGUUGAAUCAGAACGACGCAAGGUCAAUCACAUCUCAGCCAAACAAAAUGAUGUGAUAGAUGUCAAGAAAUUCUCAAGCUGGAGAAAACUAAUCCGAGUGACAGCCUAUGUCUUGAAGUUCGUCGAGAAACUGAAAGCUGCACGUUGGAUAAGGUCUGAUGACAAUGUCGAUCCUGAUGAAAGAUGCUUAUCGACAGCCCAGUUGCAGAAAGCUGAACGCUUUUUGAUUAAGGAAGCCCAAACUACCUUGCAUCAACGGGUAAAGAAUGGAGACUUCAAGACACUAAGCCCGUUUGUAGACAAAGAGGGAAUUAUCAGAGUCGGUGGACGGCUAGACAAGGCUCAGAUAUCUUAUGAGCAAAGACAUCCAGCUUUGCUGCCAUAUGGUGCAUGGAUAUCAACGCUGAUCACAAGACAUAUGCAUCAGCUAGGACAUGGUGGUGUGGCAGCUACAGCAGCAAAGAUAAGACGCCAAUACUGGAUCCUGCAGAUUCACAAGCUGGCAAAGACUGUGAAGUAUAGGUGCGUGAUGUGUCGACGCAUGGAGCAUCAGGUGGAGUCACAAGUCAUGUCUGAUCUACCAGAUGAGAGAGUUGCCCCGUUUACACCACCAUUUUACUUCUCAUCUGUGGACUAUUUCGGGCCAAUAUCAGUUAAGGUAGGGAGGAACAAGACCGCCAAGCACUAUGGGGUCCUCUUCUCCUGCCUGAAUACAAGAGCCAUACAUCUUGAAGUGGCUGUUGAUUGCACGUCCAUGGAGUUCAUGCAGGUGCUACGGAGGUUUUUCGCCAUGAGGGGUCAACCUGCAUUCAUACUGAGCGACAACGGCACACAGUUCGUCGGUACUGAAAGAGAGUUACGUGAGAUGGUGCAAGGUUGGAGCUCUGAGGAGUUAAGAGAUUUCUGCGCUGAGAGAGGAACGACGUGGAAGUUCACAACUCCAUCUGCACCACAUCACAAUGGGUGUGCUGAGGCGCUAGUGAAGAGCUGCAAGAUUGCCCUGAAGAAAGCUAUCGGGGAUCAACUGCUCACACCCUUCGAGCUGCACACCUGUCUCCAAGAGGUCGCUAAUCUCGUCAACCAGCGACCCAUUGGAAGAGCACCAAAUGAUCCUGAUGAUGGGACAUAUCUGUGUCCAAACGAUCUACUCCUUGGAAGAUCUUCGAGCGCGGUUCCUCAAGGUCCCUUCAGAGAGACGAAGAACCCAAGACAUCGCUUCGAAUUUGUCCAGCGAAUCGUCGACGCUUACUGGAAGAGUUGGAUGCGUGACGUCUUUCCACUACUGGUUCCGCGUCGAAAAUGGAACAAUGACAGACGCAAUGUCCGAAUCGAUGACGUGGUAAUUCUGGCUGACCAUAAUGCAGUUCGAGGAAAGUGGACAUUGGGUAGAAUCAUCCAGGUGUACCCUGGAACUGAUGGGAAGGUUCGAACAGUAAAGGUCAAAUCUAAAGGUUGUGAGUAUAAGCGACCAAUCUCGAAGAUUGUUGUAAUCUAUCCAACAGAAGGGUAUGACGAUGAGUAAAAAGGGAGUUAAUCCAAUUAUGUUGGCUCUAUUAUCUCGCUAAACGAGGUAAUUUGUGAAUUUUGUGAUACGUUUGAACAUGUUGAAUUUUGUACAAGCAAAAAUUUUAUUAACGCACAGUUGUUAAAAAGCUCAAAAUUGGAAGCUUGGGAUAUAUUUGUGACAAGUACAAUUUUGAAGUGAAUAUUUUUCAUCAAGUUUGUUAAACAUUGUUCUUUUACAGUGAAGGGAUAUUGACCUGUUUUCCGCUAUGGUUGGCGGGGGGAGGAUGGUUUGCAGAGCAAACCUUGAAACUAUAUUUUGUAAUUUGUCGAUUUUUGCUCCUUGUAUUUUUCAAGUUCGAUUUUGUCACUUUCGUGCUACCAUGAAGUUUUUGUUUAUCUUUUGCCGAUUCUGCUCAUGAAUAUGUAAAUUUAGAUGCCAUUUUGAUUUUGUCAAGCACUGACGUUCGAGGGACGAAAGUCUCUUAAUUUGUAUCAAGUUGGCCAGGAAAUGCCGCCCAAGAAAUUGAAUAAAAUAAGGUAGUGAGCCUGCCUGACUAUACAGUUUAAAGCGGCCUUUUCUGGUGUCUGUUAUCUCUGAGUCUUCGACGAUCCAA